rnacentral:rRNA from 1 species
CGUAGGCAGCGAGCGUUGUUCGGAGUUACUGGGCGUAAAGAGUGCGUAGGCGGUUUUCUAAGUUUGGUGUGAAAUCUCCCGGCUUAACUGGGAGGGUGCGCCGAAGACUGGAAGGCUUGAGUAUGGGAGAGGUAAGCGGAAUUCCUGGUGUAGCGGUGAAAUGCGUAGAUAUCAGGAGGAACACCUGCGGUGUAGACGGCUUACUGGACCAUAACUGACGCUGAGGCACGAAAGCGUGGGUAGCAAACAGGAUUAGAUACCCUGGUAGUCCACGCCCUAAACGAUGCAUACUUGGUGUGGGUAGUUCAUUCUAUCCGUGCCGGAGCUAACGCGUUAAGUAUGCCGCCUGGGGAGUACGGUCGCAAGGCUG